AAAACAUGGUUUUUUGUUUUAUAUAAAAAAUCUGGCCUGCUCAGUGAAUUUUAAAUAGCUGCAGUAUUUUGACUGUACAAAGGUAGCAUAAUCACUUGUCCUUUAAUUGAGGUCUGGAAUGAAUGGUUUGAUGAAAGAAAUACUUUAUUUAUUUUAAAUAAAAAAUUUAAUUUUUAAGUGAAAAAGCUUGGAAAUUUUUUUGUAGGACGAGAAGACCCUAUAGAACUUUAUUUUUUAUUUUUAUAUUUUAUUGGGUUAUAUAUUUUUAGUAAAAUUAGAAAAAUUUUGUUGGGGUGACAAAAAAAAUAUCAUAACUUUUUUUAAUUAUUACAUAAGUUAAUGUGUUUUUGAUCCUUUUUUUGGAAAAAAGAAUAAGUUACCUUAGGGAUAACAGCGUUAUUAUUUCGGAGAGUUCAUAUCGAUGAAAUAGUUUGCGACCUCGAUGUUGGAUUAAAAUAAGAUAUAUAAGUAGAAUGUUAUAUUCUUGGUCUGUUCGACCUUUAAAUUUUUACAUGAUCU
rnacentral:rRNA from 1 species